UGGGUUCAGUUAGAGGUUCAGAUUGAUGAUUAAUGGGGUUUUUAGAGGGAGUUUCUAUUUGUGGUUCAGAUGGAGGUGUUGGUGGUUAUUCAAAUGGUGAAGGAAUAUUGGUUUUUGGUUCAGGUUGGUUUUAGGCGGAGAGGGCGCGAGCCUGGAGUUGAGCGAGAGUGGGGGAUUGAGGGUCAGAUGGGUCAGAAUUAGA
rnacentral:lncRNA from 1 species